UACGUAGGUGGCGAGCGUUGUCCGGAUUUACUGGGCGUAAAGAGCGCGCAGGCGGUCGUUCAAGUCGCGUGUGAAAGCCCCCGGCUCAACUGGGGAGGGUCACGCGAUACUGAUCGACUCGAAGGCAGGAGAGGGAAGUGGAAUUCCCGGUGUAGUGGUGAAAUGCGUAGAUAUCGGGAGGAACACCAGUGGCGAAGGCGACUUCCUGGCCUGUUCUUGACGCUGAGGCGCGAAAGCUGGGGGAGCAAACGGG
rnacentral:rRNA from 1 species